rnacentral:lncRNA from 1 species
GAAUGGGGUAGAUAGCAGCUGUCAUCAUCACUGUCAUCAUUGUUGGCUCACAUCAAAUCAGGACCAGAAAACCCUGUUGACUUCUGGGUCUUAGCCUGCUGUAUCAGUGAGGGGUUUCCUCCUCAUACUCACUGCCAGGAGUAGGGUAAGGUUUUUAAUUUCAUCUCUAACCAACUCUGACAGGGCUGGAAAUGUGUAUGGAGUUCCAGACCCACCAUGGGGCCCCAGUGCCAGCUUCUUAGCCCUCCUUUGUAAGGUUUGCACUAGUCUGAUGGGAGAGGGAUUUUUUUGUCUUGAUUCUGAAGCUCUUAAAGAAAUGCUUCUUUUUCUCCAUAACUUGAGGAUUUCACAAUUGUAUUGGAAUUAUUGGUGUUAAGGAGUUAGGUCCAUCUCUUGGCAGCUUGUGAAGGGUGGGCAGGCACCUGUGAAUUCUUCACUGGCUUCUUGUAAGAAUGACAUUGGAGGGUGCUGCGUUUGUGAUUAUCUCCUCUGCUGCUAGAAAGCUUCGUGAACCCUGGUACAUACAGCGUGAUAAAUCAAGUCAUGUUUUUGCUCCUAACUUGCGUUAUGGUGUUUGAUACUAUAUCUUUAUUUCUCCUACACUGUUGGAAAGAGCUCUCAGUUGGAAGUUGAAGAUCCAGGUUCUAGUUGAGGCACCAGAGUUUCCUUGGGCAAGUUGCCAUACCUUUUUGGGCCUCGGUUUCCUUAUCUCAAUAAAAUGAGUUUCUGUUC